ACAUACUGUAGGGGGACCUCUAACUCUAGUUCUUCAAAGGUCUGAUGGUCUCAUCACAUACUGUAGGGGGACCUCUAACUCUAGUUCUUCUAAUGUCUGAUGGUCUCAUCACAUACUGUAGGGGGACCUCUAACUCUAGUUCUUCUAAUGUCUGAUGGUCUCAUCACAUACUGUAGGGGGACCUCUAACUCUAGUUCCUCUAAUGUCUGAUGGUCUCAUCACAUACUGUAUGGGGACCUCUAACUCUAGUUCUUCUAAUGUCUGAUGGUCUCAUCACAUACUGUAGGGGGACCUCUAACUCUAGUUCUUCUAAUGUCUGAUGGGUUCAUUGUCAUGAUCAUGUAAUCAGUCAUGUUCACAGUGAGGUCCUAUGAGCAAGCUUUACAGUACAGGCCUCCUGACACUCCCUCUAACACUGUCACUAUCCACCACCCUGAAGGAAACAUGCUACUGCAACAGCCAAUCUCCUUUCACCUCAGAGCUUCACCCAGGAGACACUCAUAUCACCUCCUCGUCAUCAUCGUCUUCCUCAGCAUAUUCAUCAUCAUCAUCAUCAUCAUAUUUUUCUUCAUCAUGAUGUUCAGAGUUCUGAUUCACCUGGCAGCUCUACCACUCUGGGUGACAGGGCAGUUGUUUAGUAGCAUGGUUCAUCAGAGGCCUGUGGCACUAACAGAAGGUCCUGGAGGAGACGUUCAACUCACCUGCAGCCAUACGAUCCCUAACUACUACGUGAUACUAUGGUACAAACAGUCAGCAGGAGACACUGCUAUGAAACUCAUUGGUUAUGCAUAUACCAAGUCAAUAACCAUGGAGAAAUCAUUUGAAAAGCACUUCAAUGUGAGUGGAGACGGUGGGAAAGAGGCUUAG
rnacentral:lncRNA from 13 species